rnacentral:lncRNA from 1 species
UGGAGAGAUGGGUAUUGGCCACCAUGCCGAGGAGACUGACCUGCUUAUCCAUGCUACUUAUCAGGAACUGUGGAACCAUGGAGAACAUGACCCUGGCCCUCCCUUCAGGAUCUGCCUGAGAUCUGGCUGCCUCUUGAGACACUAGAGCCCUGGAUUCAAUUGCGGAACAUUAUGUUGGAGAAUAUAAACACUUCUAGACUGUGCCGGCAUUUGGGAAGGAAUAGUCUGUUUUGACUUGAAUGAACAAAGACAUACGUCUCUGGGCCUGGGGAAGGCUUACCAGCUCAGCUCAUCUACUGUCUGGUGGCAAACAUGUCCUGGGUACUGCCACUACCCAGGACACUCUUCCUCACUCUGUCCCUGUCCAGUUACCGCACCCUUCCCUGUCUGACCCCGCCUCCUGUGCCCACUCGCCUCUGGACCCAGAGAUUCUUCUUGUUUGCUCUAUCAUCCUUGAGCCGGAUACAGGGUGAAUAGUUAACCACACUUGGGUUGAAUGGGAUCUUGAUUCUUAUUUCUGUUCCUUGGAAAGAGGGGUCAGACUCGGUGCGUGGCACCCGGCCUGGAAGCAGCACAAGACUCCAGAGUGAUACAUGAUCUGCCUGGAUGGUCCCAGGGGCUCUUUGGAGGUCAGAGCAAGAGGAGCAGCCUGAGCAGGGGGGCUGAGGAGGGCCGGCACUGGAUCACACGCAGGCGUAUGUCUGGAUAGGCAGAGAGGAACCCACUUUUCAUUCCCUCUUCUGUGACACAAAUGCAAGGAACUUUGAAGACACUCUUCGGAGGUUGCAAUCGGAGAUCAGCUUAUCCAAGGGCUUCAUGUCUGAGCUCUGUUGGUCGUGCCUCCUGAGGACCUCUUUCCUCUACUGUAUGCUGAUGACACACCCAUCCGAUGGGAGCUGGAGCCUUGUCUGGUCCUUUCCUCUAUGACCCCACGUGUACAGUUGGAAAUCCUUCCUAAUCAUGCCUUGAUUCCCCCUUUUCGACUACACUCAAAGAUGUUUGAGCUGUUUUAUUUGCAAAAUGGAUGGACAGUUUGUUUAUAUAAAACAAUCCCAGCUUCCUUGUGCUCUAUCUGGUGUGUUUGUAUGGCUCUUCAGUGACUUUAAAGUGGAGCAUUGACCUUGGCCUCUUUGAUUCUCCAUGGUGGAAUAGAGAAGACCUCUUGAGGAUGCUUAAUGUUGCUGAGAUCUUAAGAAGGCUUGCAGACUUCCUCUUCCUCCCUCCUUCUCCCACCUCCUCCUUCCCUAAGCAGCCUC